UACAGAGACUGCAAGCGUUAUUCGGAUUCACUGGGCGUAAAGGGUGCGCAGGCGGCCAAGUGUGUGAGGCGUGAAAGCCUGGAGCUUAACCUGGGAACUGCGUCGGAUACUGGAUGGCUUGAAUCCGGGAGAGGGAUGCGGAAUUCCAGGUGUAGCGGUGAAAUGCGUAGAUAUCUGGAGGAACACCGGUGGCGAAGGCGGCAUCCUGGACCGGCAUUGACGCUGAGGAGCGAAAGCCAGGGGAGCAAACGGG
rnacentral:rRNA from 1 species